UACAGGGGCGCUGAGUAACCUCGGCUGAGAUGAAGCGAACUGACGUUUAUGUCCCUUAAACCUGAUCUGGAUAAUGCCAGCGUAGGAAAAGAUGAUUUU
rnacentral:ncRNA from 1 species